rnacentral:rRNA from 1 species
UACGUAGGGUGCAAGCGUUGUCCGGAAUUAUUGGGCGUAAAGAGCUCGUAGGCGGUUUGUCGCGUCGAAUGUGAAAACCCGGGGCUCAACCCCGGGCCUGCAUUCGAUACGGGCAGACUAGAGUUCGGUAGGGGAGUCUGGAAUUCCUGGUGUAGCGGUGAAAUGCGCAGAUAUCAGGAGGAACACCGGUGGCGAAGGCGGGUCUCCGGGCCGAUACUGACGCUGAGGAGCGAAAGCGUGGGGAGCGAACAGG